GACGAACGCUGGCGGCGUGCUUAACACAUGCAAGUCGAACGCAGUGGCGAACGGGUGAGUAACGCGUAAUCAACCUGCCCUUCAGGGGGGGACAACAGUUGGAAACGACUGCUAAUCCCGCAUACUGACGGAGUGGUUUGCGUCUGAUUAGCUCGUUGGAGGGGUAACGGCCCACCAAGCCGAUGAUCAGUAGCCGGUCUGAGAGGAUGAACGGCCACAUUGGGACGGAGACACGGCCCAGAAUCCUACGGGAGGCAGCAGUGGGGAAUCUUCCGAAAUGGAGGAAAGUCUGACGGAGCAACGCCGCGGGAGUGAUGACGGCCUUCGGGUUGUAAAGCUCUGUUAAUCGGGACGCGGUACCGGAAUAGAAAGCCACGGCUAACUACGUGCCAGCAGCCGCGGUAAUUC
rnacentral:rRNA from 1 species